ensembl:snRNA U6 U6 spliceosomal RNA
GUGCUCACUUCAGCAGUAUAUAUACUAAAAUUGGAACAAUAUAGAGAAGAUUAGCAUGUCCCCUGUGCAAGGAUGAUGCUAAAUUCACGAAACAUUCCAUGUUUUU